rnacentral:rRNA from 1 species
GUUGUAUGGUUAAGUGACUAAGCGUACACGGUGGAUGCCUUGGCAGUCAGAGGCGAUGAAGGACGUAUUAACUUGCGAUAAGCCCAGAUUAGGCAGUAAAAGCCACUUGAGUCUGGGAUUUCCGAAUGGGGAAACCCACUUGCAUAAGCAAGUAUCAUUAACUGAAUACAUAGGUUAAUGAAGCGAACCGGGGGAACUGAAACAUCUAAGUACCCCGAGGAAGAGAAAUCAACCGAGAUUCCGGUAGUAGCGGCGAGCGAAACCGGAUUAGCCCUUAAGCUAGUUCUGCGUUAGGUGAAGGUUCUGGAAAGUACCGCGAUACAGGGUGAUAGCCCCGUAACCAAAAAUGCAUUA